GGGCACGUGGUGUAGUUGGUUAUCACGCUCGCUUAGCAUUCGAUGCAUUUGCGAGAGGGGUCCGGUUCGAUCCCGGACGUGUCCA